GCUUACGACGACACACCGGUCUGAGUACGCCUGAUCUCGUCUGAUCUCGGAAGCUAAGCAGGGUCGGCCUGGUUAGUACUUGGAUGGGAGACCGCCUGGGAAUACCAGGUGCUGUAAGCU
rnacentral:rRNA from 1 species